ACCUCUAACCUCUGUCGCCUUCUUCUGGCUGCUCCCUUUGGCCCCUCCCCACCAAGCUGAUCGCGUUGUUGCUAUUUGCGGCUAACUGGAGGCCGGGGAAGAAAGAGUGGAGAGAUGGUUUCGCUAGGAUGAGGCUGCCCACUCCUGACCCAGACACUGUGUUGGGGCCUCCUGACCACUUAGCCCCCAGCAGGCCCAAGAUCCCUGUGAACUUGAUGCUUGCAGCCUCUGUCACAGUCACUGAAACCCCCGCGGUGGAAUAGGGGACCCGGUGGCCUUGGGCAGAGAAGCAGCUCCUGGUCUGGGUGGAACGAAACCGUAGCCCUGGCCCUGUUAGGGGUGUGGGGCAGGUGGCCCCGAAAGGUUAAAGCCGUGGCUCAUCGUUGUCCUGGGGACAUAUAGGAAGUGUCCCACCUUGUGACUCCCUCCUGGUUCUACCGUUGUUUCACUCGUUGCAAGUUGACUUUGCCCUUUUUAUGUCUUAUCUCCCCUCUCUGACCCUGAGCUCUUCCAGACCACACUGCUUUUUCAUCUUGAUGGCUCCCACAGUGCCUGCCUCUGAGAACCUGUUUGCUGAGUGAUUGAGAAGCUGCCCAGUACAAAACAUUAGGCACCAGCCUGGGUUGACUGGCCUCAUCCCAAGGGCAACGUCCAGAUUCAUUUGUUUUUAUGUCCAGACUUUUUCUACAUUUUGGAUUAAUCCUUUUUUUUCCUUUUUCUUUCUUUCUUUUAACAGUUUUAGGCAGCUUCCAUGUCCAUCUGGAUCACAUAAGAAGGAUUUUAAAGCAGAAAUACAAGGUGAUUGACACACCUGCCCUGGACACCUGUGCACCAUCUGAUUUCCAGAUCAGGCAUUACUUGACUCUACUGGGAGAAAUAAGAAAGGGGCCCAGGGGUGCUCCAAGGAAAGGUUAUUGCGAAUUCGAGGGAUUCUUAUAAGCAAAAGUCUCAUCAUUGAUGAGGUUAGAACACCAAAAUGACAUGACGAUGAUCUCUGGCCUGUAUUAACAUGCAGAAGAGCGAAAAAGAAAUCUCCUAAACGUGACUGGAAAGAGAAGACCUAGGACUGCCCAGCAGCUGGAGUGAGGAAGGAAGACACACAGCGAGGAUAUUAAAAAACUGACUGUAAUGAAUAGUUUUAAAGCCCUAUCUGGUUGUGUCCCAGUGAACUCCCUUGAGGUCUCUCCCCCAGUUUCUAUUCUUCAGGCUGGCUGAACUCAGUCAUUCCAAAACGAGGGAGAUGCUGAUGGGGUGGGGUGAGAGAGAUGAAAAAAACCAUCUCAGCAUCCCAUUGCUAAGUCAUUUGUUCAUUUAGCAAAUAUUUCUUGAGUGCCUACUCUGGGCCAGAAGCUGUUCCAGGCACUGGAAAUCAGUGAAUGAAACAGAGCCCCUCCAACCUC